GCCCUUGUAUACUACAACGUUAUACCAUAGCUUCCUAAGAUUAUAGACUCACGUUACACUAAUACUUUCAAAUAAAAACGAAAAGCCCUCUUCAUUAUUCGGCUUCGGAGAAAAGCACAAUGAGUUUAUCAGGAGUUUUUUUUUAUUAACUCUAUCGGCUGAUCCGGUCGGCCCCGGAAAGAACGCACUUAAUGCUACAAAGUGGACUAAUCCGAAAGCAUACCACACUGCCUGACUUUUGACCCGAAUUUGGAAUACCUUCCGACUAAUACCACGGGAUGGACCAAUCAUCUGUUAUGGUCUACCAUAUAAACCAUUUGGGCCGAAGUCCAAGCCCAGACCGGUCAAAUAGUGAUAAGUUAGUUUCCAGGAGGGAAUCGAACCCAUGACUGAUGUGGGUACACACCAAACCCCAAGAGAUAUUGCCACUAGGCUACAUCGUCAUCUCUCUCUCAGCUUCCCCCAACGAUAAUGAUCCCUCUGGCACCGGCGCCGAUUUCACUUUCACCCUCAG
rnacentral:lncRNA from 1 species